rnacentral:tRNA from 1 species
UUUGUUUUAGUAUAACUUGUAAUAUGUUGGUUUUUCGUAUCAAAGAUGGUGUAUUUAUCAAACAAAG